rnacentral:rRNA from 1 species
GACGAACGCUGGCGGCGUGCUUAACACAUGCAAGUCGAACGGAAAGGCCCUGCUUUUGUGGGGUGCUCGAGUGGCGAACGGGUGAGUAACACGUGAGUAACCUGCCCUUGACUUUGGGAUAACUUCAGGAAACUGGGGCUAAUACCGGAUAGGAGCUCCUGCUGCAUGGUGGGGGUUGGAAAGUUUCGGCGGUUGGGGAUGGACUCGCGGCUUAUCAGCUUGUUGGUGGGGUAGUGGCUUACCAAGGCUUUGACGGGUAGCCGGCCUGAGCGGGUGACCGGCCACAUUGGGACUGAGAUACGGCCCAGACUCCUACGGGAGGCAGAAGUGGGGAAUAUUGCACAAUGGGCGGAAGCCUGAUGCAGCAACGCCGCGUGCGGGAUGACGUGCUUCGGGUUGUAAACCGCUUUCGCCUGUGACGAAGCGUGAGUGACGGUAAUGGGUAAAGAAGCACCGGCUAACUACGUG